AGCCUUCUGUAUCCGUGCUAAAAUUUUGUCACACGCCAGAAUGCAAGGACUGAUGAGACUUCCAAGAUAAGUGAAGCG
rnacentral:pre_miRNA from 1 species